ACAGUGGACGCGAGCAUCUUUGUGGCUCAAGUUUUUAAGGGCACACGGUGGAUGCCUUGGCACCAGGAACCGAAGAAGGACGUAGGAAUCUGCGAUAAGCCUCGGGGAGUCGAUAACCAGACUGUGAUCCGAGGAUUUCCGAAUGG
rnacentral:rRNA from 1 species